GCAGCGCGGGGCAACCUGGCGGCGAGUGGCGAACGGGUGAGUAAUAUAUCGGAACGUACCCAAGAGUGGGGGAUAACGCAGCGAAAGUUGCGCUAAUACCGCAUACGAUCUAUGGAUGAAAGCAGGGGACCGCAAGGCCUUGUGCUCCUGGAGCGGCCGAUAUCUGAUUAGCUAGUUGGUGAGGUAAAGGCUCACCAAGGCGACGAUCAGUAGCUGGUCUGAGAGGACGACCAGCCACACUGGAACUGAGACACGGUCCAGACUCCUACGGGAGGCAGCAGUGGGGAAUUUUGGACAAUGGGCGCAAGCCUGAUCCAGCAAUGCCGCGUGAGUGAAGAAGGCCUUCGGGUUGUAAAGCUCUUUUGUCAGGGAAGAAACGGCUGUGGCUAAUAUCCACGGCUAAUGACGGUACCUGAAGAAUAAGCACCGGCUAACUACGUGCCAGCAGCCGCGGUAAUACGUAGGGUGCAAGCGUUAAUCGGAAUUACUGGGCGUAAAGCGUGCGCAGGCGGUUUUGUAAGUCUGACGUGAAAUCCCCGGGCUUAACCUGGGAAUUGCGUUGGAGACUGCAAGGCUAGAAUCUGGCAGAGGGGGGUAGAAUUCUACGUGUAGCAGUGAAAUGCGUAGAGAUGUGGAGGAACAUCGAUGGCGAAGGCAGCCCUCCUGGGUCAAGAUUGACGCUCAUGCACGAAAGCGUGGGGAGCAAACAGGAUUAGAUACCUCUGGUAGUCCACGUCUCUAAACGAUGUCUACUAGUUGUCGGGUCUUAAUUGACUUGGUAACGCAGCUAACGCGUGAAGUA
rnacentral:rRNA from 1 species